UACGUAGGGUGCGAGCGUUAAUCGGAAUUACUGGGCGUAAAGCGUGCGUAGGCGGUUGGCAAAGUCAGCUGUGAAAGCCCCGGGCUCAACCUGGGAAUGGCGGUUGAAACUAGUCGACUCGAAUCUGGCAGAGGGGGGUGGAAUUCCACGUGUAGCAGUGAAAUGCGUAGAGAUGCGGAGGAACACCGAUGGCGAAGGCAGCCCCCUGGGCUAACACUGACGCUGAGGCACGAAAGCGUGGGGAGCAAACAGG
rnacentral:rRNA from 1 species